rnacentral:tRNA from 1 species
GCAGUGGUGGCUCAGUGGUAGAAUUCUCACCUUCUGUGUGGAAGGCCUAGGUUCAAUUCCCUGCCAAUGCA